rnacentral:rRNA from 1 species
AUUGAACGCUGGCGGCAGGCUUAACACAUGCAAGUCGAGCGGGGGAAGGUAGCUUGCUACCGGACCUAGCGGCGGACGGGUGAGUAAUGCUUAGGAAUCUGCCUAUUAGUGGAGGACAACAUCUCGAAAGGGAUGCUAAUACCGCAUACGUCCUACGGGAGAAAGCAGGGGAUCUUCGGACCUUGCGCUAAUAGAUGAGCCUAAGUCGGAUUAGCUAGUUGGUGGGGUAAGGCCUACCAAGGCGACGAUCUGUAGCGGGUCUGAGAGGAUGAUCCGCCACACUGGGACUGAGACACGGCCCAGACUCCUACGGGAGGCAGCAGUGGGGAAUAUUGGACAAUGGGGGGAACCCUGAUCCAGCCAUGCCGCGUGUGUGAAGAAGGCCUUAUGGUUGUAAAGCACUUUAAGCGAGGAGGAGGCUACUCUAGUUAAUACCUAGGGAUAGUGGACGUUACUCGCAGAAUAAGUACCGGCUAACUCUGUGCCAGCAGCCGCCGUAA